rnacentral:rRNA from 1 species
AUUCCAGCUCCAAUAGCGUAUAUUUAAGUUGUUGCAGUUAAAAAGCUCGUAGUUGGAUCUUGGGUCGUAAGGGUCGGUCCGCCUACUCGGUGUGCACCUGCCCUUCCGUCCCUUUUGUCGGCGGCGUGCUCCUGGCCUUAAUUGGCUGGGUCGCGGUUCCGGCGCUGUUACUUUGAAAAAAUUAGAGUGCUCAAAGCAAGCUUAUGCUCUGAAUACAUUAGCAUGGAAUAACGUGAUAGGAGUCUGGUCCUAUUGUGUUGGCCUUCGGGACCGGAGUAAUGAUUAAUAGGGACUGUCGGGGGCAUUCGUAUUUCAUUGUCAGAGGUGAAAUUCUUGGAUUUAUGAAAGACGGACCACUGCGAAAGCAUUUGCCAAGGAUGUUUUCAUCA